GGGUUGUGAGGUUAAGCGACUAAGCGUACACGGUGGAUGCCCUGGCAGUCAGAGGCGAUGAAGGGCGUGCUAAUCUGCGAUAAGCGCCGGUAAGGUGAUAUGAACCGUUAUAACCGGCGAUACCCGAAUGGGGAAACCCAGUGUGAUUCGUCACACUAUCAUUAACUGAAUCCAUAGGUUAAUGAGGCGAACCGGGGGAACUGAAACAUCUAAGUACCCCGAGGAAAAGAAAUCAACCGAGAUUCCCCCAGUAGCGGCGAGCGAACGGGGAGGAGCCCAGAGCCUGAAUCAGCAUGUGUGUUAGUGGAAGCGUCUGGAAAGGCGCGCGAUACAGGGUGACAGCCCCGUACACAAAAGCGCAUGUGCUGUGAGCUCGAUGAGUAGGGCGGGACACGUGGUAUCCUGUCUGAAUAUGGGGGGACCAUCCUCCAAGGCUAAAUACUCCUGACUGACCGAUAGUGAACCAGUACCGUGAGGGAAAGGCGAAAAGAACCCCGGCGAGGGGAGUGAAAAAGAACCUGAAACCGUGUACGUACAAGCAGUGGGAGCACAGGUUUACCUGUGUGACUGCGUACCUUUUGUAUAAUGGGUCAGCGACUUAUAUUCUGUAGCAAGGUUAACCGUAUAGGGGAGCCGUAGGGAAACCGAGUCUUAACCGGGCGUUAAGUUGCAGGGUAUAGACCCGAAACCCGGUGAUCUAGCCAUGGGCAGGUUGAAGGUUGGGUAACACUAACUGGAGGACCGAACCGACUAAUGUUGAAAAAUUAGCGGAUGACCUGUGGCUGGGGGUGAAAGGCCAAUCAAACCGGGAGAUAGCUGGUUCUCCCCGAAAGCUAUUUAGGUAGCGCCUCGUGAAUUCAUCUCCGGGGGUAGAGCACUGUUUCGGCUAGGGGGCCAUCCCGGCUUACCAACCCGAUGCAAACUGCGAAUACCGGAGAAUGUUAUCACGGGAGACACACGGCGGGUGCUAACGUCCGUCGUGAAGAGGGAAACAACCCAGACCGCCAGCUAAGGUCCCAAAGUCAUGGUUAAGUGGGAAACGAUGUGGGAAGGCCCAGACAGCCAGGAUGUUGGCUUAGAAGCAGCCAUCAUUUAAAGAAAGCGUAAUAGCUCACUGGUCGAGUCGGCCUGCGCGGAAGAUGUAACGGGGCUAAACCAUGCACCGAAGCUGCGGCAGCGAACGUAUCACUUAAAGCGAUUCAGCGGGUUACGAUUGACGGAGCGAAGCGACGUCAAAGCGUAUACAAAGUCGAGUCGGUUUAAGGAUACGUUCGUUGGGUAGGGGAGCGUUCUGUAAGCCUGUGAAGGUGGCCUGUGAGGGUUGCUGGAGGUAUCAGAAGUGCGAAUGCUGACAUAAGUAACGAUAAAGCGGGUGAAAAGCCCGCUCGCCGGAAGACCAAGGGUUCCUGUCCAACGUUAAUCGGGGCAGGGUGAGUCGACCCCUAAGGCGAGGCCGAAAGGCGUAGUCGAUGGGAAACGGGUUAAUAUUCCCGUACUUGGUGUUACUGCGAAGGGGGGACGGAGAAGGCUAUGUUGGCCGGGCGACGGUUGUCCCGGUUUAAGCGUGUAGGCUGGUUUUCCAGGCAAAUCCGGAAAAUCAAGGCUGAGGCGUGACGACGAGGCACUACGGUGCUGAAGCAACAAAUGCCCUGCUUCCAGGAAAAGCCUCUAAGCAUCAGGUAACAUCAAAUCGUACCCCAAACCGACACAGGUGGUCAGGUAGAGAAUACCAAGGCGCUUGAGAGAACUCGGGUGAAGGAACUAGGCAAAAUGGUGCCGUAACUUCGGGAGAAGGCACGCUGACACGUAGGUGAAGUGAUUUACUCACGGAGCUGAAGUCAGUCGAAGAUACCAGCUGGCUGCAACUGUUUAUUAAAAACACAGCACUGUGCAAACACGAAAGUGGACGUAUACGGUGUGACGCCUGCCCGGUGCCGGAAGGUUAAUUGAUGGGGUCAGCGCAAGCGAAGCUCCUGAUCGAAGCCCCGGUAAACGGCGGCCGUAACUAUAACGGUCCUAAGGUAGCGAAAUUCCUUGUCGGGUAAGUUCCGACCUGCACGAAUGGCGUAAUGAUGGCCAGGCUGUCUCCACCCGAGACUCAGUGAAAUUGAACUCGCUGUGAAGAUGCAGUGUACCCGCGGCAAGACGGAAAGACCCCGUGAACCUUUACUAUAGCUUGACACUGAACAUUGAGCCUUGAUGUGUAGGAUAGGUGGGAGGCUUUGAAGCGUGGACGCCAGUCUGCGUGGAGCCGACCUUGAAAUACCACCCUUUAAUGUUUGAUGUUCUAACGUGGACCCGUAAUCCGGGUUGCGGACAGUGUCUGGUGGGUAGUUUGACUGGGGCGGUCUCCUCCUAAAGAGUAACGGAGGAGCACGAAGGUUGGCUAAUCCUGGUCGGACAUCAGGAGGUUAGUGCAAUGGCAUAAGCCAGCUUGACUGCGAGCGUGACGGCGCGAGCAGGUGCGAAAGCAGGUCAUAGUGAUCCGGUGGUUCUGAAUGGAAGGGCCAUCGCUCAACGGAUAAAAGGUACUCCGGGGAUAACAGGCUGAUACCGCCCAAGAGUUCAUAUCGACGGCGGUGUUUGGCACCUCGAUGUCGGCUCAUCACAUCCUGGGGCUGAAGUAGGUCCCAAGGGUAUGGCUGUUCGCCAUUUAAAGUGGUACGCGAGCUGGGUUUAGAACGUCGUGAGACAGUUCGGUCCCUAUCUGCCGUGGGCGCUGGAGAACUGAGGGGGGCUGCUCCUAGUACGAGAGGACCGGAGUGGACGCAUCACUGGUGUUCGGGUUGUCAUGCCAAUGGCACUGCCCGGUAGCUAAAUGCGGAAGAGAUAAGUGCUGAAAGCAUCUAAGCACGAAACUUGCCCCGAGAUGAGUUCUCCCUGAGACUUUAGGUCUCCUGAAGGAACGUUGAAGACGACGACGUUGAUAGGCCGGGUGUGUAAGCGCAGCGAUGCGUUGAGCUAACCGGUACUAAUGAACCGUGAGGCUUAACCUUACAACGCCGAAG
rnacentral:rRNA from 1 species